AGCGAACGCUGGCGGCAGGCCUAACACAUGCAAGUCGAACGAACUCUUCGGAGUUAGUGGCGGACGGGUGAGUACCACGUGGGAACGUGCCUUUAGGUUCGGUAUAACUCAGGGAAACUUGUGCUAAUACCGAAUGUGCCCUUCGGGGGAAAGAUUUAUCGCUUUUGGAGCGGCCCGCGUCUGAUUAGCUAGUUGGUGAGGUACAGGCUCACCAAGGCGACGAUCAGUAGCUGGUCUGAGAGGAGGACCAGCCACAUUGGGACUGAGACCCGGCCCAAACUCCUACGGAGGGCAGCAGUGGGGAAUCUUGCGCAAGGGGCGAAAGCCUGACGCAGCCAUGCCGCGUAAAUGAUGAAGGUCUUAGGAUUGUAAAAUUCUUUCACCGGGGACGAUAAUGACGGUACCCGGAGAAGAAGCCCCGGCUAACUUCGUG
rnacentral:rRNA from 1 species